rnacentral:hammerhead_ribozyme from 1 species
AUCCAGGUGACGAGUUCCAGAUAGGACGAAAUGCGCCCUAUCCUGGAU